rnacentral:rRNA from 1 species
GUCGACCUACGGGGGGCAGCAGUGGGGAAUAUUGCGCAAUGGGCGAAAGCCUGACGCAGCGACGCCGCGUGAGGGAUGAAGGUCUUCGGAUCGUAAACCUCUGUCAGCAGGGAAGAACGGUCACUGUGCUAAUCAGCAGUGAAUUGACGGUACCUGCAAAGGAAGCACCGGCUAACUCCGUGCCAGCAGCCGCGGUAAUACGGAGGGUGCGAGCGUUAAUCGGAAUUACUGGGCGUAAAGCGCUCGUAGGCGGUACGUCAAGUCAAGGGUGCAAUGCCCGCGCUUAACGUAGGAACUGCCUUUGA